UACGUACUUUUUCGUCCGGAAAUACUUGCCAUUCAAAUGGAUGUAUCUAGAUGUAUUUUAGUUUUAGAUACAUUUAUUUUCAUUUAUUUUGAUGACAAGUAAUUUCGGACGGAGGGAGUACUAC
rnacentral:pre_miRNA from 1 species